CCUUCACACGUAUAGAUGGAUUUAGCUGUCCAGUUUUCCGGAGGAACUGGAUCAAAAAGGCAUUAAGAUUCUAUCCCCAGCCUUCGAUCCACAAGCCUCCCAUCCCCUCGGUCUGAUUCUGCUCCCGAAACGCUAUUGAACGUCCUUUACGAAUGGAAAGACGGUGAACAGAAACACACUUGAGGCCUUCUGGAAAGCAGAGGUCAUUUGCCCUAGUUUGCCCAGAGACAACAGAACACGUGCUGGAUAUAAUUAAUUAUCUGAUUGUAACCAUCCAGAAACGCGGACUCAACUGGCCAGGUACACCAGGAGCAAAGCAACUUCGCAAGAUUCGCCACCGCAAUGGGCCAAUAACGCCUCGAAAGGGAGAAGUUGGGAAAACUUGGCUGACACCCUUGAAUGAGCAAGGGUUUUUCCUUUCCCUCCCCCAUAUCCCCCCUUGCAAGCUCCCCAUUGUCGGGGAUUCUAGGAUUCCAGGGACAUUGGAAAUGGACCAUCAGAAACACAUCCGAGAGCAGGUUAUUGCACUGGCCGGAACAUUCGCUCAUUUCCCCCUCAAAAAGAUCGCUCGGACCGCUCUCUCUGGCCAAUCUCUAGGAAAUACAAACUUACACAAACACCUAACAACGACCACGAGGGGAAAAGAGAAAAAGAAAUAAAAGAAAAGAAGAGAAGAUAAAAGAAAAGAAAGGAAAAGGGGGGGGGGUGGAGAACCCUCCCUUGUUGUAAACCUGACUCCCGGGAAUUCAUUUGCAUGAUUUAGGCAUAUUUGUUCUUCUCUGAAAAAUCCCCUCGGAAAUGAAACCUAUCUCUUCUCCAUCUAGACCCAGCAAUCGAAGAGUAUAUUUUGUGCAGCGAGAGUUUUAGAUGCAAUAAUUUAAGGCAGCAGUGGACUCACCUUCCAACUUUGUGACUGUUCUUGAUAGAUGUGGAGGGUGAAUUUUGAUUGGUUUGAUGGAAGAUGGUGUUACGACUGGGGGAGAUUUUAUAUCGGUGGGGUUUUUUUUUUCCCCUGCAAACUCUAAAAUAAAGAAUGUGAAGUCUU